AUUAAAUCUGCGCUAAUCUGUCCAAGAGUCAUAUUAGACGGAUAAUUGUGCUAAUUGUGCAACUAAUACGUGCUGAAUCCGGACCACAAGUCCUGGGCAUUUAUUAGAUAAAGAACCGUCCCGCCUCUGGCGGAUCCUCUUAGGAUGUCAUCAAUAAGGUUGCAUACCGUGAUUAUUCACUGGUAUCUUGGGUGAGGCGCAGCCCUAUCAGUUGCGGACGGUAAGGUCUUGGCUUACCGUGGCGUUUACGGGUAACGGAGAAUUUGGGUUCGAUUCCGGAGAGGGAGCCUGAAAAACGGCUACCACAUCUAAGGAUGGCAGCAGGCGCGCAAAUUACCCAAUCUUAACAGAGGGAGGUAGUGACGAGCAAUAACAGCGUGUGACAUAUGUUGCACGACUGGAAUGAAACGGGCCUAAAAAACCCGUUGAGAAUCAAUUGGAGGGCAAGUCUGGUGCCAGCAGCCGCGGUAAUUCCAGCUCCAAUAGCAUAUAUUAAAAUUGUUGCAGUUAAAAAGCUCGUAGUCUAACUUUGCUCGGCUGGUUGCACGUUACAGCUUCGCUGUAUGGGCGGCCGACCGGGCUUUGCGCGGCGCUUUUGUCUCUGACAUUGGUGCUCCGCCACUUUGAAUAUAUCAAAGUGUUCAAAGCAAGUUUUCUUGAUUGCUCAAGCAUGGAAUACGGAAUCGGCGCUUGCCUUUUCUAAGGUUCUAAAGGCAUUUGCAAUGAUUGAGAGGAACGGUUGGGGGGAUACGCAUUUGACUGUUAGAGGUGAAAUUCUUGGAUCAGUCAAGGGCGAACUGAUGCGAAAGCGUUUCUCAAAAACGUUUUUGUUGAUCAAGAACGAAGGUUAAGGGAUCGAAGACGAUCAGAUACCGUCGUAGUCUUAACGGUAAACUAUGCCAUCCAAAGAUCGGGCAAAUGCAUAGAGCUUGCUCGGGAUUUCGUGAGAAAUCAGAGAUAUUGGGUUCUGGGGGAAGUAUGUGCGCAAGCCGGAAACUUAAAGGAAUUGACGGAAGGGCACCACAAGGAGUGGAGUAUGCGGCUUAAUUUGACUCAACACGGGGAACCUUACCAGGGCCAGACAUAGGAAGGAUUGACAGGAUGCUAGUUCUUUCUUGAUUCUAUGGGUGGUGGUGCAUGGCCGUUUCUAGUUGGUGGAGUGAUUUGUCUGGUUGAUUCCGUUAACGAACGAGACCUUUUCUUCCAAAUUGCUGUUACAUUACUUUUGUAGUGUGCAGUAACUCGGAGUACAACAUGUGGAAAGCAUGGGGAAGAGAAAGGCGAAAACAGGUCUGUGAUGCCCUUAGAUGUUCUGGGCCGCACGCGUAUUACAAUGGCGUUGUCACUUAGCAUUACAUCCCUUGUAAAAGAGGGUGGUAUCUCACUAACUGACGCCAAAAUCGGGAUUGGCUAUUGGAAUUAUUGGCCUUGAACGAGGAAUUCCUUGUAAUUGCAAAUCAUCAGUUUGCGAUGAAUACGUCCCUGCCCUUUGUACACACCGCCCGUCGCUCCUACCGAUUGGGUGAUCCGGUUAAUUCCAUGGAGUGUCACUGUAUCUUCACGGGUGCAGCUGAUGCAAAAUGGUGUGAACCUUAUCAUUUAGAGGAAGGAGAAGUCG
rnacentral:rRNA from 1 species